GGGGCUUAACCCUGAGCGUGCUUUCCGAUACGGGUUGACUUGAAGAAGGUAGGGGAGAAUGGAAUUCCCUGGUGGAGCGGUGGAAUGCGCAGAUAUCAGGAGGAACACCCAGUGGCGAAAGGCGGUUCUCUGGGCCUUUCCUGACGCUGAGGAGCGAAAGCGUGGGGAGCGAACAGGCUUAGAUACCCUGGUAGUCCACGCUGUAAACGGUGGGUACUAGGUGUGGGGUCCAUUCCACGGGUUCCGUGCCGUAGCUAACGCUUUAAGUACCCCGCCUGGGGAGUACGGCCGCAAGGCUAAAACUCAAAGGAAUUGACGGGGCCCCGCACAAGCGGCGGAGCAUGCGGAUUAAUUCGAUGCAACGCGUAGAACCUUACCUGGGUUUGACAUGGAUCGGGAGUGCUCAGAGAUGGGUGUGCCUCUUUUGGGGUCGGUUCACAGGUGGUGCAUGGCUGUCGUCAGCUCGUGUCGUGAGAUGUUGGGUUAAGUCCCGCAACGAGCGCAACCCUUGUUCACUGUUGCCAGCACGUUAUGGUGGGGACUCAGUGGAGACCGCCGGGGUCAACUCGGAGGAAGGUGGGGAUGACGUCAAGUCAUCAUGCCCCUUAUGUCCAGGGCUUCACGCAUGCUACAAUGGCUGGUACAGAGAGUGGCGAGUCUGUGAGGGUGAGCAAAUCUCGGAAAGCCGGUCUCAGUUCGGAUUGGGGUCUGCAACUCGACCUCAUGAAGUCGGAGUCGCUAGUAAUCGCAGAUCAGCAACGCUGCGGUGAAUACGUUCCCGGGGCUUGUACACACCGCCCG
rnacentral:rRNA from 1 species